CAGCAGCCGCGGGAAUACGGAGGGUGCAAGCGUUAAUCGGAAUUACUGGGCGUAAAGCGCACGCAGGCGGUCUGACAAGUCAGAUGUGAAAUCCCCGGGCUUAACCUGGGAACUGCAUUUGAAACUGUCAGGCUGGAGUCUUGUAGAGGGGGGUGGAAUUCCAGGUGUAGCGGUGAAAUGCGUAGAGAUCUGGAGGAAUACCGGUGGCGAAGGCGGCCCCCUGGACAAAGACUGACGCUCAGGUGCGAAAGCGUGGGGAGCAAACAGGAUUAGAUACCCUUGUAGUCCCUGUCUCUUAUAC
rnacentral:rRNA from 1 species